AGCAGCCGCGGUAAUUCCAGCUCCAAUAGCGUAUAUUAAAGUUGUUGCAGUUAAAAAGCUCGUAGUUGAAUUUCGGGGUCAGCAGGUUGGUCAUGCCUCUGGUAUGCACUGGUUUCGCUGAUUCCUCCUUUCUGAAGAACUGUAAUGUCAUUAAUUUGGUGUUGCAGGGAAACAGGACUGUUGCUUUGAAAAAAUUAGAGUGUUUAAAGCAAGCUAACGCCUGAAUACAUUAGCAUGGAAUAAUGAAAUAGGACGUUUGAUCCUAUUUUGUUGGUUUCUAGGAUUGACGUAAUGAUUAAUAGGGAUAGUUGAGGGCAUUAGUAUUCAAUUGUCAGAGGUGAAAUUCUUGGAUUUAUUGAAGACUAACUACUGCGAAAGUAUUUGCCAAGGAUGUUUUCAUUAAUCAAGAACGAAAGUUAGGGGAUCGAAGACGAUCAGAUACCGUCGUAGUCUUAACCAUAAACUAUGCCGACUAGGGAUCGGAUGAUGUUAAUUUUUUAAUGACUCA
rnacentral:rRNA from 1 species